rnacentral:tRNA from 1 species
CAGAGAGUAGUUUAACGCAGAAUUCUAGCUUUGGGAGCUAGAGGUGGGAGUUUAAGUCUCCUCUUUCUGA